GAAUGCUCAAGCCACGCAAAACCAUGACAAUAAUCAUUUAAAACAUUGUCAAUGUGGGCCGUUUACAAUUCACUGGUGACACCACAAACUAGCAUGUGGUGAUACGACCUGUUGCUACAACACAACUCAUGAUGCCAAAUCAUGCUUACACUCCAACACUCAACCCAUUGUCAUCUGGAGAAAAUCCAGACAAGCCUCCUCUGGAGCUUGUGAUGUCAGCCACCAUCAUCACAGUUUUCAAGCUGGGCUUGCGCAGACAUUAACUGGAAGAAGAUACCAAGACAGCUCACCAAGUGGAGUUGCAGGCACCCAAUCACAAACCCUCCCAUCCCUGGGCAACACAUUGCAUAUUUACGAAGGAUCCCAUCAGGUCCGCAAAAUUCUGCGUCGCCACAUGUUUUCAAUUUAGCAAGGACUAUGUAAAUGUAAACCUUACAGGCUAUGUAAGGUUAUGUAAACGAGCACAGCCAGCAAGUUCAUUUAAAUGCACCGUUGGUAUUUAAGACACAUGUUGUUCCUGCAAGAAAAACUGUAUGAGCGGAAAUCUCAGCUGAAGUAAAUACUGUCAGUGAAGUGAAAAUAUGGCUAAUUGACUUCUCUAACACUGAUGCUACAGAACCCCACAUUUGUAUCCAUGAACCUGGUUGGUGGAUUAUUUUAGGCACACAAACAUUUGAUUGGCUGAUGGUAUUUGAGCUGUCAAUCAAAGACAAUAUGAAGUACAUUACAUUAAACACUAAUCAGAUA